UACGUAGGGGGCAAGCGUUGUCCGGAAUCACUGGGCGUAAAGCGCGCGCAAGCGGCGAUCUACGUCCGGGGUGAAAGCCCAGAGCUCAACUCUGGGACUGCCUUGGAUACGGGAUCGCUUGAGGAUCGGAGAGGCAAGGGGAAUUCCACGUGUAGCGGUGAAAUGCGUAGAGAUGUGGAGGAACACCUGUGGCGAAGGCGCCUUGCUGGCCGAUUUCUGACGCUGAGGCGCGAAAGCGUGGGGAGCAAACAGG
rnacentral:rRNA from 1 species